GACGAACGCUGGCGGCGUGCUUAACACAUGCAAGUCGAACGGAAAGGCCCUGCUUUUGUGGGGUGCUCGAGUGGCGAACGGGUGAGUAACACGUGAGUAACCUGCCCUUGACUUUGGGAUAACUUCAGGAAACUGGGGCUAAUACCGGAUAGGAGCUCCUGCUGCAUGGUGGGGGUUGGAAAGUUUCGGCGGUUGGGGAUGGACUCGCGGCUUAUCAGCUUGUUGGUGGGGUAGUGGCUUACCAAGGCUUUGACGGGUCGCCGGCCUGAGAGGGUGACCGGCAACAUUGGGACUGAGAUACGGCCCAGACUCCUACGGGAGGCAGCAGUGGGGAAUAUUGCACAAUGGGCGGAAGCCUGAUGCAGCAACGCCGCGUGCGGGAUGACGGCCUUCGGGUUGAAAACCGCUUGCGCCUGUGACGAAGCGUGAGUGACGGUAAUGGGUAAAGAAGCACCGGCUAACUACGUG
rnacentral:rRNA from 1 species